rnacentral:misc_RNA from 1 species
GAUGAAGAACGUAGCGAAAUGCGAUAAGUAAUGUGAAUUGCAGAAUUCAGUGAAUCAUCGAAUCUUUGAACGCACAUUGUGCCCCCUGGUAUUCCGGGGGGCAUGCCUGUCCGAGCGUCAUUACAACCCUCAAGCUCAGCUUGGUGUUGGGCCCCGCCGCCCCGGCGGGCCCUAAAGUCAGUGGCGGUGCCGUCCGGCUCCGAGCGUAGUAAUUCUUCUCGCUCUGGAGGUCCGGUCGUGUGCUCGCCAGCAACCCCCAAUUUUUUUCAGGUUGACCUCGGAUCAGGUAGGGAUACCCGCUGAACUUAAGCAUAUCAAUAAGCGGAGA